AUUGAACGCUGGCGGAAUGCUUUACACAUGCAAGUCGAACGGUAGAGGGGGCAACCCCUCGAGAGUGGCGAACGGGUGAGUAAUAUAUCGGAACGUGCCCAGUCGUGGGGGAUAACGUAGCGAAAGUUACGCUAAUACCGCAUACGAUCUAAGGAUGAAAGCGGGGGAUCGCAAGACCUCGCGCGAUUGGAGCGGCCGAUAUCAGAUUAGGUAGUUGGUGGGGUAAAGGCUCACCAAGCCAACGAUCUGUAGCUGGUCUGAGAGGACGACCAGCCACACUGGAACGGAGACACGGUCAAGACUCCUACGGGGGGCAGCAGUGGGGAAUUUUGGACAAUGGACGCAAGUCUGAUCCAGCCAUUCCGCGUGCAGGAUGAAGGCCCUCGGGUUGUAAACUGCUUUUGUACGGAACGAAAAGGUCUCUCUUAAUACGGGGGACUCAUGACGGUACCGUAAGAAUAAGCACCGGCUAACUACGUGCCAGCAGCCGCCGUAA
rnacentral:rRNA from 1 species